UGUUGUCAGUUACUAACAGGUUUCGCUGAGGACUCUGACAAGACUGCCAUCGUAAGAUGUGAGGAAGGUGGGGAUGACGUCAAAUCAGCACGGCCCUUACGCCCGGGGCUACACACGUGUUACAAUGGGGGGUACAGAGGGCCGCUACCACGCAAGUGGAUGCCAAUCCCCAAAACCUCUCUCAGUUCGGACUGGAGUCUGCAACCCGACUCCACGAAGCUGGAUUCGCUAGUAAUCGCGCAUCAGCCACGGCGCGGUGAAUACGUUC
rnacentral:rRNA from 1 species